rnacentral:rRNA from 1 species
GAUGAACGCUGGCGGCGUGCCUAAUACAUGCAAGCCGAGCGAACAGACGAGGAGCUUGCUCCUCUGACGUUAGCGGCGGACGGGUGAGUAACACGUGGAUAACCUACCUAUAAGACUGGGAUAACUUCGGGAAACCGGAGCUAAUACCGGAUAAUAUAUUGAACCGCAUGGUUCAAUAGUGAAAGACGGUUUUGCUGUCACUUAUAGAUGGAUCCGCGCCGCAUUAGCUAGUUGGUAAGGUAACGGCUUACCAAGGCAACGAUGCGUAGCCGACCUGAGAGGGUGAUCGGCCACACUGGAACUGAGACACGGUCCAGACUCCUACGGGAGGCAGCAGUAGGGAAUCUUCCGCAAUGGGCGAAAGCCUGACGGAGCAACGCCGCGUGAGUGAUGAAGGUCUUCGGAUCGUAAAACUCUGUUAUUAGGGAAGAACAAAUGUGUAAGUAACUAUGCACGUCUUGACGGUACCUAAUCAGAAAGCCACGGCUAACUACGU